rnacentral:rRNA from 1 species
GAGCGCGUGUGGGAUGAAGGCCUUCGGGUUGUAAACACUGUCGGAGGGGAUGAAGUGUAGUGGGUCUCCCAUUAACUUGACUGAUCCUCGGAGGAAGGGUGGGCUAAGUUCGUGCCAGCAGCCGCGGUAAGACGUACCACCCAAACGUUAUUCGGAAUCACUGGGCUUAAAGAGUCCGUAGGCGGCUCGAAAAGUUGGAUGUGAAAUACCUCGGACUAACCGAGGAACUGCAUUCAAAACUACCGGGCUUGAGAGAGACAGAGGUAAGCGGAACUGCUGGUGGAGCGGUGAAAUGCGUUGAUAUCAUCAGGAACACCGGUGGCGACAGCGGCUUACUGGGUCUCUUCUGACGCUGAGGGACGACAGCUAGGGGAGCGAACGGGAUUAGAUACCCCGGUAGUCCUAGCCUUAAACGAUGAGCACUAGAUCGAGGGGACCUCCACAUCCUCUUGGUCGUAGGGAAACUGUUAAGUGCUCCGACUGGGGAGUAUGGUCGCAAGGCUGAAACUCACAGGAAUUGACGGGGGCUCACACAAGCGGUGGAGGAUGUGGCUUAAUUCGAGGAUACGCGAAGAACCUUAUCCUAGUCUU